AUUGAACGCUGGCGGCGUGCUUAACACAUGCAAGUCGAACGUGAUCCGGAGCUUGCUCCGGUGAAAGUGGCGCACGGGUGAGUAACGCGUGGAUAACCUGCCCUGGUAUCUGGGAUAACAUCUCGAAAGGGGUGCUAAUACCGGAUAAGCCCACGGAGCCUUCGGGUUCUGAGGGGAAAGGUGGCCUCUGUCUCAAGCUACCGUAUCAGGAUGGGUCCGCGUACCAUUAGCUAGUUGGUAGGGUAAUGGCCUACCAAGGCGACGAUGGUUAGCUGGUCUGGGAGGAUGGUCAGCCAAACUGGAACUGAGACACGGUCCAGACUCCUACGGGAGGCAGCAGUGGGGAAUUUUGCGCAAUGGGGGAGACCCUGACGCAGCAACGCCGCGUGAGUGAUGAAGGCUUUCGGGUCGUAAAGCUCUGUCAGAGGGGAAGAAAUGACGAGGUGCUAAUACCAUCUCUUCUUGACGGUACCCUCAAAGGAAGCACCGGCUAACUCCGUGCCAGCCGCCGCAGUAA
rnacentral:rRNA from 1 species